CAGGGGUUAGUUUAUUAAAAUAUCGGUUUUGGGUAUCGAGGAUAGAAAAUUUUUUCUACUCCUGA
rnacentral:tRNA from 1 species